rnacentral:rRNA from 1 species
GACAUCCAGAGAACUUGGCAGAGAUGCCUUGGUGCCUUCGGGAACUCUGAGACAGGUGCUGCAUGGCUGUCGUCAGCUCGUGUUGUGAAAUGUUGGGUUAAGUCCGCAACGAGCGCAACCCCUAUCCUUUGUUGCCAGCGAUUCGGUCGGGAACUCAAAGGAGACUGCCGGUGAUAAACCGGAGGAAGGUGGGGAUGACGUCAAGUCAUCAUGGCCCUUACGAGUAGGGCUACACACGUGCUACAAUGGCGUAUACAAAGAGAAGCGACCUCGCGAGAGCAAGCGGACCUCAUAAAGUACGUCGUAGUCCGGAUUGGAGUCUGCAACUCGACUCCAUGAAGUCGGAAUCGCUAGUAAUCGUAGAUCAGAAUGCUACGGUGAAUACGUUCCCGGGCCUUGUACACACCGCCCGUCACACCAUGGGAGUGGGUUGCAAAAGAAGUAGAUAGCUUAACCUUCGGGAGGGCGUUUACCACUUUGUGAUUCAUGACUGGGGUGAAGUCGUAACAAGGUAAGCGUAGCGAG